UAACGAAUAUUGGGCAAUGGGCGAAAGCCUGACCCAGCAAUGCCGCGUGCAGGACGAAGUCCUUCGGGAUGUAAACUGCUGUCAGGGGUCCGCAAGCGAAGGGGUCCAACAGGCCCUGGAGUUGAGCAGCCCCAGAGGAAGCCUCGACUAACUCUGUGCCAGCAGUCGCGGUAAGACAGAGGAGGCAAGCGUUGUUCGGAAUCACUGGUCUUAAAGCGCGUGUAGGCGGCUUAGAAAGUGUCGGGUGAAAUCCCGCGGCUCAACCGCGGAACGGCAAG
rnacentral:rRNA from 1 species